rnacentral:lncRNA from 1 species
UCACACCGGAUUCGGUUCCCUGCCACUUCUUCCUCUUACCCAGAAUGAAAUGCAAGCGGACGGGUCGUCAUUUUCACACAGAGGAGAUCCAGCACGAAUCGCAGAUGGUGCUGGACAAAGAACAAGACUUCCAAGCAGCGUUGCAAGCAUGGCAGGAGUGCUGGCCCAAGUUGACUACUUCUGAAGGGAUGGCGACAAAAUGUUUUUCACUUUUUAUAGAGAUCGUACGAUGAUAGAGUUGAUACACCCUGUCGUGAGCGUGGAGGGCACGGUGAAGGCCAGAGGCCUUUUGUCUAUCAUCCCUCAGCUCAUCUAGAUGACUGAAUGUGAUCCAGGACUUGACCAGAUCUCCAAACUCUGAGAACACAAAUUCUGCAUAACGCUCAAAGACCUUUGGCAGCUCAGGACUCUCCCAGUCCCCAAGUGUGGUUCUGAGGCCCUCUGGUACAGUUGAGCGGUGUAGGACCACCAGAGGCUGCAGGCCUGAUUCAGUCAGCUGCUCCAGAAGGGUCCUGUAGCACCCCACGGUGUCCUGAUGGGGCUGGCUGGGGUCUCCUGUGGGGAGGAUGUGAGACCAGGAGAGAGGCACCUUAAAGUGUGUCACCCCCCGGCUCUGAAGGUACUGGAAGUGGUCUCUGAUCUGUGGGGGCAGUGCGUCUCUGCAGUCAAAGACAUCAUGAGCCGCCUCUGAUGGGAAUGUCUGGAUUGCAGAGGGACUGAGGUUCAAGUUCUUCACUAAGCUAUGGGUCAAGGGGCCAGCAAGAAGCAUGAACUCCUGUGGGAUAUCCUCUUUUCCAUGGCAACCGUGAAGGCUAAGCAGACUCAAAGAGAGCAGAAAAGUUGUCUCCAGCAUCUCUGCAGGUACUCAACUAAAUGAUCUCACUGAAUUUAUAACAAUGCACAAAGCCUCUCUGUUUCAUAACAUGACCUUACACCAGUAAGGCCCACCGUUUAUUGUGAUUGUGCUGAUAAUGCUCUUUCCAUAUAAAUGCUGAUAAGGGUAUUGUUUUUAUUUAGCAGUGGCAGUUUCCCCAUAAAAGACAAAUCUCUGUACAGAGGUCACAACAGCCUAUUAGAAUAGUUACAAACAAGCAUCCAUCAGGGAAUUUGGUAUCUGUACUUAAUUGC